GAUGAACGCUGGCGGCGUGCCUAAUACAUGCAAGUCGAGCGAAUGGAUUAAGAGCUUGCUCUUAUGAAGUUAGCGGCGGACGGGUGAGUAACACGUGGGUAACCUGCCCAUAAGACUGGGAUAACUCCGGGAAACCGGGGCUAAUACCGGAUAACAUUUUGAACCGCAUGGUUCGAAAUUGAAAGGCGGCUUCGGCUGUCACUUAUGGAUGGACCCGCGUCGCAUUAGCUAGUUGGUGAGGUAACGGCUCACCGAGGCAACGAUGCGUAGCCGACCUGAGAGGGGGAGCGGCCACACUGGGACUGAGACACGGCCCAGACGCCUACGGGAGGCAGCAGUAGGGAAUCUUCCGCAAUGGACGAAAGUCUGACGGAGCAACGCCGCGUGAGUGAUGAAGGCGUUCGGGUCGUAAAACUCUGUUGUUAGGGAAGAACAAGUGCUAGUUGAAUAAGCUGGCACCUUGACAGUACCUAACCAGAAAGCCACGGCUAACUACGUGCCAGCCGCCGCCGUAA
rnacentral:rRNA from 1 species